CUUCCCACAAAGAUUAUAAUGGUCUGAACCUCUGAAACACAAAGGAUAGAGUGAAGCUCUAAGACACGGAUCCUCUGGCCAUUUUCACUGCUUUAGGUGACAGACCUGGGAGAAGAACGUCAGAGUGAGCACUGUGCAUCUAAAUUCCAGUAAGCUCAGAACAAAGCCUGUCUAUUAGAGGAAGCCAUGUUCGCCCCCACCCUCCAUGACUUUCAAAGCCUCCCAGCCUCCCACGUGGGGUCAUCAAAGACAGCUGCCUGCAAUCUCUCCCCUCCCCGCACCACGAGGCAGCUCCUCACGUGAAACGUUUGCUGAGCAACCUGCUAUCCCUACGCAUCACUGCUGCCCCCUUGUGGUAAGAAAGUGAAUGAACCAGAAAGGCUCCUUGCUACAUUGGGGAUGGAGGUUCCAUUCGCCAGAUUUCUUGAUUGUAAAUGGAGUAGGGAAACAGCAGAUGAGAUGUGUCUAACUAUAAUUUUAUUUUGACCAUUGUAAUAAACUUAUAUAUUUUAAA
rnacentral:lncRNA from 1 species